rnacentral:lncRNA from 1 species
GUUUCGCUGAAAUAUUAGGAGCGCAAGUUUGAGAUGAUGUUUAGAGGGCAGCGAAAUCUUGCCUCGCGAAGGCACAUUGUUUGGUGUCUCAUCUUAGUACGCUGAUUUGAGCUUGGUAGACCCCAAGUUAGUUGUGGGUCUUCCACUUUACCACGUCGAAGGAAUGAAGUAAGUUCUGCACUUUUGGCCACAUUUGAGCUCCAAAAUUGUUGCUUUCCCCACCAUUCGGAACUUGCUUGACUCCACCGACUAGUUGAAUACCUACAGUCGAGUAUAAACGUUGACAAAGUCUCAGGCUGCUUGGACUUGUAGUGGGUUGAGAUGCAACUUUUGAGGCACGACGUGGUCACAGGUAAUGAGGAUAGUCCCGCUUCGAAAGAGCUUCGUUAAUUGGGCACUAGCUCCCCCGGCUUUCUGGGACAUUGUGCUUUACACGCAAAAUCCCAAUAUCAAUGGAUCAAAAGUAUUAAUGGAUCAAAUGUAUUAAUGGAUCAAAUUCA